UAUCACAGCGCACAACGGCGAU
rnacentral:miRNA from 1 species